GGCAGGAGGUCAGGGAGAGGCAAUGAGUCACUGCAGAUUCUUGCGAGGCAACAUCACGGAUUUGCAGAUCUGAGGGGAGGGAGCUCCUGCACUGAUUUACACCGACCCACCACAAGCAGAAGGGCUGAACGCACAGAGUGAACACACCAGGAGUCAGAAGGGAAAGUGGUUGAGUGACAAUAAGGAAGGAGAAGAAAAGGUUGGAUUGAGUGAGGAAUAAUAAGAAAUGAAAGUUGGGAAGAAGCCUCCAAGGGUGAAGGGGAACUUUCUCCAUGAGCAAAUUCCUUCCAAAUGCCCGUUGGUGGUCUCUGGGCAGGAGCUGUGGUGCUGAGCAACGUGGAGCAUGAACGUCUCCACAGAGCAGCGGGUUGGGAUUGCAAAGAAUCUUCCCCCAAAAUGGCCAAAAAUAAUUAAAAAGAAAUACACAAAUCCUGAAGGAAACUCAGCCAGAAAACAAGAUCUUAAGGAAGUAUGCUCAGCUCCAAAUUUCCAUGAAGCAUCCAACUGGCUGAUCCAGCCCCGACUGUGUUCCCACAGAGAUUUUACUCAUCCUCCCUUCUGAGAGUCUGGAGCAGAACUGAGGAUGGAAGCAUCGAAACAGUGGGCAAAGCACUUUCUCCUGGCGCUUCCCCAUUGCUGGGAGGAACAAAGCUCUGGAACCAUGCUGCAGUUCCAUCCAGUGGGACAUGACAUGGGCAGAGCUGAGCACAACGGACGGGUUUGGAUCUUCCUCCCAGUGCAAUUCCUCGAGGGUUUGUUUGUUCCACUGGGCUUUGCUGUGGGGAAUUGGUUUGUGUGUUUGGUGGCUGCUGGAGCAUUGCACUGCUCCGUGUUUCUAUGACAGCUGUGCACUGGGACAUCUCCUCAACACAAACGCAACAGGAGCGAGCCUGUUGUCGGCGUGGCUUUUUUUUUUUUCCUCCUGAGACAACAAAUGUUUCCAAAUCUGAAAAAAUAAAAAAUGAAAUAACGAAAUGCUGCACUCAGCUGUCAUUUCAGACCCACGCUGCCAGGGCCGG
ensembl:lncRNA